CCCAUCUACCCGCGCAAAAUUUCCAGAAGUGGAAGUUCCAUCAAGUGCGAUCAAAUCUUUCAUUUCGUGAUGACACGCGAAACUGAAUUACAGUCUCUGCAAGACAAGAAGAGAAAGAAGAGCAUCAUGCAGAAUUCUUGAGGUCGAGAGUAAAGCAAUUUCUUGCUUGUUUUCGUGUUGUGCAUUUCUCACAUGCGGUUUCUGCUCCUCCAUCGUCUCUGGAAUCUUGAGGUGCUCCGCUAGGCUUGCAUACUGCGGCCUGUUCGGAGUUUCCUUGGUGGUUUCAUGGGUUCUCAGAGAGUUCGCAGCUCCUCUGACGGAGAAGAUGCCAUUAUGCUCGUCGGUUGUGAAUUACGGUGUUUUCUGUAAUUUUGGUUAAAUGUGGCAACUCAUUGCAUCGCUGGGACCUCGGUCUAAUUUUUCAAGGAAUGAUGAAUUCACUCGAGAAAAUAGGAUACUUGAAUUUAGAAUUAUUGUUGUGGCGGGCGGUUAUUGAAUGUAUCCGGGAUCCAUAUAGGUUGAAAUGGAAACUCCCUAAUUGGAUCGAAUAGGAUCAUCUUACUACAAAUUUGUUUUAAAGUUCUUGGAACAAAUACUAUCCAUUCCAUAAUUGAUCUAAAUAGGUUAUAUUUACUAUUGUUUUCA